rnacentral:rRNA from 1 species
AUUGAACGCUGGCGGCAGGCUUAACACAUGCAAGUCGAGCGGGGGAAGGUAGCUUGCUACUGGACCUAGCGGCGGACGGGUGAGUAAUGCUUAGGAAUCUGCCUAUUAGUGGGGGACAACAUCUCGAAAGGGAUGCUAAUACCGCAUACGUUCAACGGGAGAAAGCAGGGGAUCUUCGGACCUUGCGCUAAUAGAUGAGCCUAAGUCGGAUUAGCUAGUUGGUGGGGUAAAGGCCGACCAAGGCGACGAACUGGAGCGGGUCUGAGAGGAUGAGCCGCCACGCUGGGACGGAGACACGGCCCAGACUCCUACGGGAGGCAGCAGUGGGGAAUAUUGGACAAUGGGGGGAACCCUGAUCCAGCCAUGCCGCGUGUGUGAAGAAGGCCUUAUGGUUGUAAAGCACUUUAAGCGAGGAGGAGGCUCUUUUGGUUAAUACCCAGGAUGAGUGGACGUUACUCGCAGAAUAAGCACCGGCUAACUCUGUGCCAGCAGCCGCCGUAA